GAGAGAAGCUUGCUUUUCUGCUGACGACCGGCGCACGGGUGCGUAACGCGUAUACAAUCUGCCUUAUACAGAGGGAUAGCCUUUAGAAAUGAAGAUUAAUACCUUAUAGUCUAUUUUUAUAGCAUUAUAUAAAUAGUAAAGCUUCGGUGGUAUAAGAUGAGUAUGCGUCCUAUUAGUUAGUUGGUAAGGUAACGGCUUACCAAGACAACGAUAGGUAGGGGCCCUGAGAGGGGGAUCCCCCACACUGGUACUGAGACACGGACCAGACUCCUACGGGAGGCAGCAGUGAGGAAUAUUGGACAAUGGAGGCAACUCUGAUCCAGCCAUGCCGCGUGCAGGAUGACGGCCCUAUGGGUUGUAAACUGCUUUUAUAUAGGAAGAAACCUUUUCACGUGUGAGAAGCUGACGGUACCAUAAGAAUAAGGACCGGCUAACUCCGUGCCAGCAGCCGCGGUAAUACGGAGGGUCCGAGCGUUAUCCGGAAUCAUUGGGUUUAAAGGGUCCGUAGGCGGGAAUCUAAGUCAGUGGUGAAAUCUUGCAGCUCAACUGUAAAAUUGCCAUUGAUACUGGAUUUCUUGAAUUAGUGUGAAGUGGUUAGAAUGUGUAGUGUAGCGGUGAAAUGCAUAGAUAUUAC
rnacentral:rRNA from 1 species